UUGUGAAAUAAGGAUGGGAAGUCAGAUUACCAACAAAACCAACCACCUUAACAGAACCUGGUUAAUUUGCACCCACAAUAACCUUGUUAGUUUUGAGACGCUUAACAGAUAGAAAAUCGCAUAUUGGGAUGCAAUGUAACUAAACAGUUAAACGUUUCUACUACGUGUUUGAACGAGUUUCAUGUUCAUCCCGACAUUAAUUAACCUUUUUUUUUUUCAAUAAGCACCUCUUUUCUUCAUUUUCUGCCUCUCUUUAAUCACUCUUGAUUUUUUUCAUUUCGUUUUUGUCGCUUUUUUUUUGGCAUCCUUUUUAUUUUUUGUUUUCAUCACUCUUUUAUUUUUUGUCACUUUCUUUUUUUCUUUUUUUUGUCACUCUUUUCUUUUCUUUUCUUUUCUUUUCACUCAAUUUUUUUUCUCUUUCUUUUUUUCAGUUUAUUUUUCACUCAAUUAAUUUUAUGACUAUGAUCGAAUCCGAUGGGGAUUGCCUACGUAUCAUGAUGCUGCAUGAAUCAGGUCUUGCGUAGUUCGGGAAGAUUGAGAAUGGAGUAAAUAAACUAACUCUUUUUUUGUCUUUUUUAGUUUUUGUAUAACACUCGGACCAUGAAAGUGUUUAGAAUAAGAAUAUAUAUAUAUAUAUAUAUAUAUAUAUAUAUAUAUAUAUAUAUAUUCCCUUUAUUUUCCUCGAAAGAAAAGCUUGCACUUCAGAGAUUCAGGUUAAUUUUUAUAUGUCUUCAAUUAAUGUGGACUUAUUGUUAUGUUUUAUUUCUGCCUUACAUACUCAGUACAUUAUUCGUACUGACGUCCUUUUAUUUGGGACAUUGCAUUCAUGUCUGCAGGUAUAGAUAAUCAGUUUGACGAACCCUCAUAAUAGAUGAGAUUGGCAUUCAGCAAAGGAUCGGCAAGACUCUACCUCAUUCGGAGUGCAGCCGAGUCUAUGAGUCAUCUUUUCAACGUUUUGCUACAGACUUAUUUGUACGCUGGUACCCUGUCCUAUUUGAUGUCAAAUAACCUUAGAGACUUUGUAGGUAGAGAUUUAGUUUGGACUUUAUGUCAAAGGCCUUGAUGGCCCAUAUGUAUUCAUGUCUUAAGAACGAUAGUUUAUUGAUACAGUGUUGCCCACUUACAAUUGUACAUUACGAGUUAUGGCCAUGUUGGCCCAUGAUAGUCACAAAAGGAAUGAAUGAGUUACAAAGUGGUUCGCUCGGGCAAGUGCUGUACUAGGUGCCAGCCACGCCUCACGAGGUUGAGGUGUGACAAUCUUCUCCUUUGGAGAUACCAUUUUGGAAGACUGAGAAAACACCCCCAAGGAGAUGGCGCUCGAAGAAACUGCCAUCGAGGAUGCACCCUCGAGAAUAGAUUAGGCUCUUGGCUUUUACUAUAUGUAUACUUUUGCUUCUUUUUUUCUGUGUAAGGACCCCUCAUGGGAUUUUGUAAUCAUAUGUAAGAAUCCCUCGUAGGCUUUGUAAUCAUGUGCUUAUGAAUAUAAAGAUGUUUCUUCAAUUUGUCUCUGAUGUAUGCUAUAUUUUCCUUUAUCUACGUUUGUGAAGAAUCUGAAUACAUGACUCCAUUGAUUGGUGCAAAUAUCGAGCUCGAGUGUGAGUAUUUUUCUGACCUUUGAUUGAUUGGCGCAGCUCCCCGCGGAACCCUUUGUCUUUCCUUGUACCGAGCCUGGAUUGGAUUGGUAAACUUGGGUCGUCGGGACCCUGACUUCGAGCUGAAUGAGAAUAAGGCUUCAAACUCUCAAAAUGAGACUUAGCAUUUAGACCCUACGAUAAUCGUCAAGGGGGAUUUGCUUGGAAGUUCGAGAAUAGAGACUGUCUUUAGGCUUUCGAGAACAGUCCCCGAGUGGGGGUUUGCUCAAACUCGGGCCACCUAGAAACUUGUUUUGAAUUUAGUGUAGAUAGUCUCAAGGCAUGGUAGAUAGAUCUUAGAUGAGGGUUUACCCGAGUUUAGAUGGUACGUCGAAGCCAAACCUAUAUGAGUAGAGUUUUAGCGCUUGUUUUCUUUUUGAGAGAAGCCCUCGAGAUCGUGUACCAUCUCGGGACUUGCGAUGAUGCCGAUGGCUUCCUGGAGCCUAUCUUCUUUUUUAUGGAGGUCCUUGAGAUUGGGUACCAUCUCGGGACUUGGUUGAUGCGGGGUCUUCAACCCCGAAACAUCGUAUGGUGGCAUCGAGUGUAUGAUACGGUUACGAGGUGACCGAGGUGAUUCCACCGGCAUCUUUCCAAAGCGAUAAAAGCUUUAGCCGAUAUUUUUAAUCGUCCUUUGAGGCAUGCAGGUGGUCGCAACUUUUUCCACAUAUAGGGUUGUCUUCGCCCUUUUGGAGAUUCUGUUAUUCUGAAUAGUUAUCCGAUUUCAUAGAGUUCUCCUUUCUUGCGCCAAUUUUCCUUUAACUCAAAGCUUUUCAUUUCCCCUUUCUUUGUUUUACCAUAGCCAUAGAUGCUAUGCCUGAAUCCGUUUGGUAAGGGGAAGGGAGCUCUGCCUCUAGGCACUUUGCUUCGGGAGGGAAUCUCCCGUCAGAAGAUACCCCCAACGUUCGAGGUUAUCGGGAAUAUGCUUCGAAGUUCAUUUCUUUAAUAGGAGAUGAGCACCUUGAGUUGGUGAGGAAGGACUGUGGAUUGGGAUAAAAGGUAGCAUUUCGGGUACCUUCCCCGGAGAAGAGCGUCAUGGACCAUGCCAAGGGAUUUUUAAACGUAUACACGUACCCCUUUACGCUGGGCCCCGUUGAUAGGGUUAUGCUCGACUUCUGUCGAAAGUACCAGGUUACCUUGGUGUAGAUUCACCCAUCAUUUUGGCGGAUAGUAUUGAUGAUGAGGUUCUUUGUGGAAGACUCAGGUCUUGAAUUCACUCUUAAUCACCUCAUCAGGUUGUAUUGGCCCUUUCAUCGUCGAGGCAUGUUGACCCUGCAAUGCCGAUCCACUACGCCUUUCAUUGUUGACGAUGAAAAAGAUGGAGAUCAGGGGUGGAUGAGCCGAUUCGUCCAUAUACGGACCAUCGAUAUUAUUCCAGUGGAGUUUCUGCCAUUUCCUGAGGAAUGGAAUUUUACACGUAAGUGGUAUACUCGUGCCUUCUUAGUUUUGUUUGUGGUGAAAGCUGGCUUCAUAAAUAUGCCUUCUUUUCUUUUUCUACAACGAUUUUGUGGAUGCCAGGCAAGGUUCUCGAUCUGUCUGAUUGGGUUCGAAAGUUGGCGACCCACUCGACUUACAAUUAGCAUAAGUGGCGAGCUUUAUCUAAAGAUAUGUGGGAGGCAAAACACCAUGGUAUGUGCUAUGUGAUUUGCUCCCCCCCCCCCUCUUUCGGACGGGCGCUUUUUCUUUCUGCAUACUAACUCUGUCAUCAUAGGCAUUGGGGAGUCCCUCAAAACAAGGUAAUGCCUUUUAGCAGAGGGAGAAUGAUUGCCAGCUUCCGGGCUAAAGAAUGAUAACAACAAACAAGAAAUGCCUUUGUAGGGCGGCGAUGCUCAAAGCAAGACUAGCCCAGACCGGGGGCUCAGAGAGGAUGUAUUGUCUGAGCCUUCUUCACCCGCGAUUUUUGGUUUUGGAAAGGCGAUUUUUCCUCCGUUGCCGUCUUCUUUUUCCGUCGAAGGUACUUCGAGGGAUACUCAAAACCCGAGAUCGUAUACACUGAAAGACUGUAUCCUAACCAGGGUCGGCUCUUCUGGGUCUAAGGGAGCCAUACUAGCAGAUGUGUGUUCGACCUUCGAGGAAGCUCAGCAGCUUCACUCGGUGGUGAGUUUUGGCACUGGCCCUUUGAGUUUCACGCCUUCCCUUUCUUAUUGAGUUUUCUUUUGCAGGCCUUUGACAAGCUUAAGUCAUAGCUGCUUCACCGUGAGGCCAAGCUACGGAAGGCUUUGGAUGGGGAGAAAUCCCUUAGGAUCCUUUAGGAUGAAAGGGAAGUCAAGUUUUCACGCUUACGGUACGAGACGAGUCGGAGCUUGAAUUAUGAGAGCUACCUGAAGGGGCAGGUAGUUUUUGUUCCGAGGGAGUGUGUGUUCCUUUUUCUAGCUCCUGAAGCUCAUGUUUCGUUUAUUUUAGUUGCAGAAAAAGAGGGAGGACCUGAAGCGCCUUCGGAACGAAAUUGGCUGAGCCAAGCGCGAGUAUGAUGAGUUAAAGGCUCAGGCGGACGCUCAGGCUUUGGCGGAGAAGGGUGCUCUGGCUAAAGCUUCCUCCCUUAAGGUUUAACUUUGCUUAGCUCGUGAUAAUAGCAUGGUUCGAAUAGAUAUGAUUACAAAGCUCGAGUCUGAGCUUUUGAAGAUAAAGGUCGAGGUUGUGGAUGCCCGGACUGAAGCUGUAAUGAGCCAAACUAAGGUUGACCAGAAAGUGACAGUCUAUUUGAAGGACACUGCCAAUGCUCAAGCUGAGCUGAGAAGGACUUUAACCGAGAGGGUAGGAGCAAGGAAUAUGCUCAGUGUAAGUCUCGAAGGGAAACCUUCGAGAAGAUCCAUGCUAGGGGCUUUGACCUCUCGGAAGAGGUGAAGCGGGCGAGGGCGGACGAACGUGGCACUAAGUCACUUCUGUCCGACGUCGAGGAUAGCGAGGAUGAGGUCGAUGGGCCAUAGUCAAGGGGGACGUAGAUUUCCUUUUCUGAUUCUGUACAUAGUACUUUCGAAGUAUGUUGUAAAUGGAGCUUGUAUUUUUCCGCAUAUAUAUAUAAAAGGAAAGCUUCGCAGUUUAAUUUCUACUGCAUUUCUUUUUGCCUUGAUAUUUUCCAUAUGAACUGGUUUUAGAAGGAAUCCUUAGAUUCGUGGUAUGGCCCUGAGGCUCAUUAAGCUGGCCCGUAGGCUCUUACGCGCUUGGUCGAUACGACCUUUCAGCAUAAUCCGGCGUUCGAGCUCUUAUGCUUGUGUUCUUAGGCGUGUUUGGUCAACUAUUUUGGGUUCAGUCUCCGAGUCGGAUAUCAACUCGAGCUUAUUCUAUGAUGACCCGAAAUCCACUAAUUGUCGUGAUGGCGCCGGACACCGUUGUCAGGCAAGCCAACCAAAAUACUUAAUUAAAUUCCAAUUUUAGUAUUUGCUGAAAUCAUUUUUUUUCUUUAUACAUUAAUUAACAAAUAAUAAAAUUUACAAAAAUAACCAUGAAGUCUUUAACAAACUUAAUAUUGAAUAAUCCAAGAAUCACCCCAGAACCCGGUGUCACAAAUGCAUGAGAAAGUUCUAAGAAGUAAUAUAAUACAACAACAGUCCGGAAUACAAUGUUGGACAGAAACUAAAUACAGUAAUCUAAAAGAGACUUGCUGGUUGUGGGUCGUCUCGAGAAAUUCAGCUCACCUAAGUCUUUGUAUUGAUCAUGCUGUUACGCCCACUAGGCCACUAGUGAUGCAUGUGCAUGUGCAACAAAAAUGCACAGAAAUGUAGUAUGAGUACAAAAAUAACGUGUACCCAAUGAGUAUCCCAUCUAAUCUCAAAGAAGUAGAGAAGAGAUGAUCGACUUCGACACUUACUAAUGGUCCAAUAAUGAUAUACUAUUAAUGUGAAUAAUCAUGGAUUUAUUAAGAAUGACAGUAAUUUCAAGUAAGUCACGAACAGGUGAAAGUUCCUUUUUAUAUUAAAAGUCUCCGGAUUCAUAAUCAAUUAGUUUAAAUUAUCUCAAGUCGGAGAGGGAAAAUAUCAAUGUCAAUAAAUCUCAAGGCAAGCAAUACAAGCAUGCGCAAAUCAUGUCGAUAUCGUACGGCCCGAUCCAACAGAAAUGUAAAAUGUGCACUGUCGAGGGUCGAACGCCGCGAACCAUAGAUACAUCUAUUACCUUGCUCGCGCAUCAUACAUGCGACGCGGUCAACAUAAAUAAACAACUAGCCCGCUCGCGAAUCAUACAUGCGACGCGGGCACACAUAGAUACACACAGUCAAACAGCCAAUUAAGAGUUUAUCGGGAAAUGUUUAUUCCAAUAAAAUCCAAUUCUCUUUUAAUGAUUUAAGAAAAAUGAAGCUUAAUCUGUUUAGAAAUUCAUUUACUAAUUCGAUGUGAUUUAAGCAAUUCAAGAUGUCAAUAAGUUUACAAAUAAUCCAAGUAUAGCAUGUUUUUGGGUCCUAGACUACCCGGACAAUAGCAUAAUAGUAUCUAUGCACGGACUCUCGUCACCUCGUGCAUACAUAGCCCCCACAAAUAGUAGCACAUAACCAAUUAACUCACCUAUGGGGACAAUUCCCUCUUACAAGGUUAGAAAGGAGACUCACCUCGCUCCGAAGAUCCAUAACCGGCAUUCCACGCUCUUCCGAAGACUCAAAUUGAUGCACGACGCUCCAAAACUAGCCAAUAAUAAUACCAAUCCAUCAAUAUAUACUCAAUUACCCCUAAUGAUCCAAUUUAUAACAACCCCUAACCCCGAUCGAAAAGUUGACAAAUACGACCUUGGGCCCACGUGCCCGGAUUCCAAAAAAUUUCGAAGAUAAACUUUAACCAUAACCUCAUGAACUCAAAUAUAUAAUUUACUCUCAAUUUAAUACCCAAAAUCAUGGUCAAAUUCCAAGAAUAUUAAUUUUCUAGGUUUUCCCUCAAACCCCAAGUUUUCUACAAAUUUCAUGCUCAAAUCCGUACAUAAUCAAUGUAUUUAACUCAAGAUAGGUGGGGAUAGCUUACCUUAUCAUUGAUGAUGAAAAUCCCCUCUUGAAGCCCUCCAAAAUCGCCCAAAGUAGAGAAAAAUGGGUGAAAUGAACUCAACCCCGCUUUUUAAAACAUUCUACCCAGCGACUUCCGCACCUGCGGACCCUUGACAGCUUCUGCGGUUCUGCAGGUGCGGCACUUCUACCGCUUCUGCAGUUCUGCAGGUGCGGCACUUCUAUCGCUUCUGCAGAUAUCUCACCAGGCCCUCCCCUCCGCUUCUGUGAUUCAACCGCCCAGGUGCGGUUCUGCUUCUUCAGCUUCUCCACCACAUCUGCGGUCCCCUUCACGUUGGUCCAAACCGCAUCUGCAGCUCCUCUAGCCGCUUCUGCGGUUCCGCACCUGCGGCCCAAUUCUCGCAGGUGCGCUUAUGACAGCAACCAACAACUUUAGCCUUCCAAAAAUUCCAUUUUCGAUCUGUUAACCACCCGGAAUCCACCCGAGGCCUCCGGGACCCCAACCAGUCCCAAAAUACAUUAUGGACUUGCUCGAGGUCUCAAAUCAUAUCAAACAACGCUAAAAUCACGAAUCGACCUCCAAUCCAAGCUUUAUGAACUUUAGAAUUUCAAACUUCUACUUUCGAUGUUUAAACCUAUCUAUUCACGUCCGAUUGACCCCAAAUUUUGCACACAAGCCAUAUUUGACGUUACGGACCUGCUCCAACUUCCGGAAUUAGAUUCUGAUCCCAAUAUCAAAAAGUCCACUUCCGGUCAAACUUUCUCAAAAACCUUCAAUUUUCUAUCUUUAGCCAAAUGGCUCCAAAAUGACCUACGGACCUCCGAAUUCACUUCCGAUCGCGCUCCCAAUUCCAGAAUCAUCAUACGGAGCUACUCCAAGACUCAGAAUCCCAAACGGACGUCGAUAAUACUAAAAUGCACUUCAAGCCAAAGUUAUGAAAUUUCUUCCAAAAUGCUAACUUCCACAAUAGGUGCCAAAAUGCUCCCAGGUCAUCCAAAACUCGAUCCGGGCAUACUUCCAAGUCCGAAAUUAUCAUACGAACCUGCUGGAACCUUCAGAUCCCGAUUCCGAGGUUGUUUACUCUGAAAUCCAAUCUUAGUUAAUUCUUCCAACUUAAAGCUUCCGAAAUGAGAAUUCUCUUUCCAAAUCAACUCUGAACUUCCCAAAAUUCAAUUCUGACCACACGUACAAGUCAUAAUACCUGAAAUAAAGUUGCUCAUGGCCUCAGACUGCUGAACGACAUGCUAGAGAUCAAAACGACCGAUCGGGUCGUUACACAUUCGACCCUCAAGUUUUUUGAAUUGCAAGCUGGACCUUAGGCUCUUACGCACCAGUUCGGUGAAACCUCCAAUUUUAGCACUAGCGACAAUGGCUCUUAUGCAUUUGGUUGGUGCAACCUUCAAUUUUAGUGCUGGCAACAGUGGCUCUUACGCUUUUGCUCUUAGGCAUAUUUAGUUAACUAUUAUGGGUUCAGUCUCCGAAUCGGGUUUCAACUCGAGCUCAUUCGACCCUCAAGUUUUUAAACUUCAAAAUGGACCUUAGGCUCUUACGUGUUGGGUCAGUACAACUUUUAUGUGGGCUGGUAAUAGUGGCUCUUAUGCCUUGGGUCGAUGAGACCUCUUAUGUGGGCUGGCGACAGUUGCUCUUACUCCUUGGGUCGAUGCGACCUUUUAUGUGGGCUAGACAAUGGCUCUUACGCCUUGGGUCGAUGCGACCUUUUAUGUAGGCUUUCUUUUUCCCUCGUUAAGGAUUAGUUUGCCUGACUCUUCAACGGUUUAAUAAAAAAACCUCGAUUGUGAGUCAUUAUAUGGCAAUGAUCGAGCACCUUGGGAGGUUUGGCUCGGAGGCUGAGUAUUUUGAAACCCGUGUUUAGGAGCUGGCAUAGUCGAAGCUCUUUUGCCUAUGUCGAGGGUAGCCUAUUUAACGAGUUCUUUUCGAAGUAUAUUCGAUGUAAUUGAAGGCAUGUGAUUUUAUAGCGACGGUCGGGCGUCCUCGAGUCGCGUUAGUUUGGCUGGUACAGCCUUAUGACCGUAGUCAUUUGUGUUUGGCAGAGCCUUUAAGUCCAGAAUGAAGUAGUUUCGGCGUAUAUAUUGAGGGUAUGCCUUUUUAGGGGUCUUACAAGUUCGAUAUAUAGCCUUAGCUUUGAGAUCGGGUUUAUGCCGUUAGUAAGGUCUUACAAGUUUUACAUGCCUUUGAGGUCUUACAGUUUUGGAUACUUCGUACAAGUAUGGUUCAUGCCUUGCUUGAGGUCUUAUAGAUAUUAUUGUUGCCUUAUACAGGUCUUACGAGACCGAGGCUAUCCGCAUGUGGUCUUAUGGCCUCGGGCUUUGAUAAGUUGAUGGAGAAGUCUAUUGACGACAGUACCCGAGUCAUCGGGGAUUUCUUGGCUCAAGAGCCAUUACUUAUAAACUUGGUAUUGCCUCAUCAAGGGCUUAAGAUUUCGGAGUUUCCAACCCGAAGGUCACGUGGCCUUGAGUUUUCGAUGCCAGUCCCCGCGUGUUCAGGACGUUUUUGGCUCUGGAGUUCUUUUGUGAUCUCGUUGUUGCCUCAUUGCGGGUUCACGAGUUUGAAGCUCUAACCUGGGGAUCGUACUGUUCCGAGUUGUUGAUGCCAGUCCCCGAGUAUUCGGGAUGUUUUUUGGCUCUAGGACCAUUUUUUGCAAAAAUGUCGAGCUUCCUUGAAACGUAAAAUGCUUUUAGGAAGUAUUCUUUGAUUACUUGGUACAAGUAUACUUGCCUUUGUUGUUAGGGUCUCGGUUGUAUUAUGCGAACACGGUUCGUUUGACUGUUUGGCCCGCUACAUUAUUUUCCUAUCAAGAUCCCACUUAGCGUUUCUAGGCUUCUCCGAGUAGGUGACCUUCCGAGGGGAUGCCCCUCAGUGUUUGAGGUUGAUUGCAAAAGAAGCCUUGAAUACUUGUUGAGUCUUCCUUAGGUAGCAUAUGGAUGUUGCCUUGUUAAAAACCUUGUAGGUAAAACCGUUCUUGGGAUAAAAACUCGGUCGAAGGAAAAGAGUGCAACGCAUGCUUUUUGAAACCUAAGGCCUUUGAGUUAGAAAGUGCUUUGGCCAUUUCAAUCGGAUACCUACGUUCAAGUUAGUGUAGAAUUUAAUUGAAAAAAAAGAGGCUGUCAUACCUUAGUGUAGGAUGUGCCGGUGGUGUUUUGAUCCCUGAUAUGUUUCAAUCGCUUGUGAUGAAGACACGGUACGAUCCUCUGCUUUGUUCAUUCGAGUACAGCCAAGAGUGUAGCUUGUUAUCGCUAUUUUGUUGUUUGCUUAUCCUUCGGCUCCUUUGAAGGUGGAGGUACCGGUGUCGGGGCCACAUCGUGGACCGUGAACAUUUCUCUCGCCACAUGUUGUUCCCCGUUGAUGGUCUUAAUCCCAUCCUUUGUCAGGAAUUUCAUCAUUUGAUGGAGGGUGUAUGGUACUGCUCUCAUGAAGUGUAUCCAUGGCACUCCAAGCAAGGCGUUGUACCUCAUGUCUCCCUCGAUGACAUGGAAUUUGGCAUUUUGGGUUGUGCCAGCCACAUUAACUAGGAGGGUGAUUUCCCCUUUCGUUGUUUUCUCAAGCAGUCCAAGCUGCUCUACCACCCUCGACCUGAUAAUGUUAGCCGAGCUACCUGGAUCCACAAUUACACGUUUAAUUUGAAAUGUAUUUACAAGAAAAGAGAUUACUAGUGCAUCGUUGUGAGGCUGAGACAAGGUCUCGAUGUCCUCGUCGCUGAAUAUGAGAGCAUCCUCGGGUAUGUAUCCCCGAGUUCGCUUUUCUCUUGUGAUGGAUAUUUUUGUUCUUCUCAUCAUGGGCUCCUACGGGGCAUCAAUGCCUCCCAAUAUCAUGUGGAUGACAUGUUGUGGCUCAUUCAUUUCGUACUUCUUGGCCGCCUCUCAUUUCUGGAAAUGAUUUUUGGCCCGGUCGCUAGUAAACUCUCGGAGAUGACCUUUACUGAGUAGUCUGGAUACUUCUUCUCAGUGUUGGUGGCUAUCCUCGGUCCAGUGGCCGUGCAUGUUGUGGAAUUCAGACACUAAAUUAUGAUUACUUUGCAAAGGAUCUGAUUGCACAGGCCUGGGCUACCUGGCGUCUUUGAUUUUACUGAUGGCGAACAUGAUGUCUGAUACAUCGAUAUUAAAGUUGUAUUCCGACAAGCGAGGUGCCUCCGUUGGCCCUGUAUGAUUAUUGAAUCUGGCUCUGUUGAUGAGUCCUUGAGGAUUCUGGCAUCGAUCCAUCCUUCGGUCAUUGCAGGGUAUGUUACGCCUCGGGGCAUUUCUCCUAUCGUCAGUAUAUGGCUGGUACCUUUCCUUGUUUGGCUUUGGCUCAUUUUCCAGAAAACUGCUUGGGUAUACCGAGCCCGGGGGGAUCCUAGUUGGUCGUCCUUGACCCUGAUUUUCGAUUGAUAUUGGUUGUGAAUGUCCGACCAGGUCACAAUGGGAUAUUCGAUCAAAUUCUUUUUCAGCUGCUUCGAAGCCACCGAGCUUUGUCCAUUCAGACCUUGAGUGAAGGCCUGUACUGCCCAGUCGUCGGAGACUGGUGGUAGUUCCAUUCAUUCCAUUUGAAAGCGAGAUACGAACUCUCGCAACAUCUCGUUCUCCCUCUCCUAGAUUUUGAAGACGUCUGACUUCCUAGUUGCUACUUUGAUGGCACCGGCAUGUGCCUUUAUGAAAGAAUCUGCCAGUAUGGCAAAUGAGUCUAUGGAGUUAGGAGCUAGGUUGUGAUACCACAUCAUGGACCCUUUCGAGAGUGUUUCCCCAAACCUUUUUAGCAAGACAGACUCGAUCUCGUCGUCAUUUAGGUCGUUUCCCUUCACUGCACAAGUGUAAGCAGUAACGUGCUCAUUGGGGUCUGAGGCCCAUUGUGUUUCGGAAGGUUCGGCAUACUAAACUUCUUCAGAAUGGGUUUUGGAGCUGCUUCUUCUAGGAACGACCUUUGUAUAAACUUCUUUGAAUCUACACCUUUCAGGAUCAGGGGUGCGCCCGGAAUUUGGUCGACCCAGGAGUUGUAGGUCUCGAUAUUUUUGUCGUUGGCUUCUAUCUUCUUCUCGCCCGAUUUGAUCCUCUUUGUAAGGUCCUAGAGCAUAUUUACGAUGGCGGGGUCGGUUGUCGACCCGUUGUUGCUUGAUCUCUCUGGUACCUGCUCGGCUGGGGGAACCGUCCCCGAUGCUACCGUGUUGGGAGUUUUCUGGUGACUUUGCAGCUGAGAAAUCACUAGCUGUUAUGCCUUAAACAUUUCAAAAAUAACGUGAUGGUUAACCUCCUGUUCUUCCCUAUCCGGGGUUUCCUAAGCUUCUUGUUGGUCUUCUUGGUACACGCUCUUGUAAGUGUGGGAGCUUAUAUCGACGUGUUGGGCAUCACGUGAGACCGCGUACAUGGGAAUUGGUUCUGGUGCGUUCUUAGGGUUUCGUGGUGGUACACCAACACCUGGAAUAUCCACACCAUUUUCUCCAUGGUUCUUAAGAUUGUUGUUCACCGAAUCAGGCAUUUUGGCCUGAAAUCAAAGAUCUUGGGCAAGAAAAAGUGUGAAAGAUAACUUAUGUUACGUAGUAAAACCAGCAAGAAAAUAAUCACUAUAAUUCUUAGCCCCAUGGUGGGCGCCAAACUAUUUACCGUAAAAAUGGUAACAACAAUUAAAUUUGAUUUAGUGGUUCUAAAAAUAUGUGAUAUAUUUUUAUGCUAGUUGUUAAGCAGUUGAUGCUAUGUGAAAGACUUUGAAAUGAGAUAAGAGCUUGAAAGCAAGGUGAUAACCAAACCGAAUGAUUAAUAAUCAGGGCCUCGGGCUUGCCUAUUUGAGGGUCUCGGGGUGGAGUCUGGAGCUCGGCUGGGAACUAUCAAGGGUAAUCGAUGGGUGACUAACAGUAGUAAUAAAUUAAUGACGGCUCUUUAUGAACAAUAAUAAGCAAUAAAUGAUGAACAAUAAAUAGAACACAAUAAGUAUAAGCAAUAAAUGAAGCAAUGAGAUCAAGAGAAUAUGUUAGAGAGCAGAGAGAAUGUUCUUGUGUGUUUUAUAUUGAGCAGCGGAUGUUUACAAAAUGCCAAGGAUCCCCUUUAUAUAUGAGGGGGGAAUCCAACAUAGUACAAAAAAGCAUUAAUUACAAAGAUAGGGAGAUGGUACAACUAGUUAAUGCCUUGAUUCAUUUUUGGACCAGUCCACUAGACUUUGUCAGCCAUAUUCAUGCGCCUUGGGAAUUUCUCACUUUUUCAUCAUAUCCGCCGAACUGUACUGUCUCGAGGCCGACGUUGAUAGCCCCUCAAAAGUCAAUCUCAACCAUACCUCGAGCCUCUGAAAACAUGCUUACGAGGCACCAUGAUGACGGAAAGUCGGACCUUUCGAUUUUACCAUAUACAAUUAUUUAUUUUAUUUCAGAGUCACCACUUGGGAUAAUUUUAUGGUAUCCCAAGUCACCGGUUUAUUUUAAAUCCCAAAUCGAGAAAAUUGACUCUAUUUUUGGUCCUCGAACACAGAAGACCAGGUAAGAAAUUUUGUUAACCUGGGAGAAGGUGUGAGGCACUCCCGAGUUCCGUGGUUUUAGCACGGUCGCUCAACUAUUAAUAUUUGGCCUAAUUAUUUGAUUUAUUACAUGUUUUAAACCUAUUGUUCAUUUUUAACUUUAUAACCGCUUUUAUUUAUUUAUGGAAUUAUUUCUGGAACAAGUGACAAUGUCGUACACUUGUCGUUUUGGUACACAUUGCAAACCGUGUCAUAUGAAAUGCACCCGCAAUUUAUGACAUGUUUAUUUUAUUAUUAUUAUUAUUCAAAGUUGUGGUCGGGUCACAUGAAAUGCACACCCCAAUUGGGGAUUAUGUAUCGUAACUAUGCCACGGGAGUCGUACCCAUAGCCACGAUGAUUUAUUAAUCACGCCUAAAGCAAGCUAUGAUGUUCAUGAUUUUUCUAAAACUAAUUUUGAGAUUAUUGCUUAUCGGCUCCUUUAUCCAAAAUUAUUCAUUUAUCCCAAGUAAUUAUCUGAACAACCAAACAGUCGAGAAUAGAUAAGUUUUCACCGUAAACCUUAUGGCCCAUAUAUUUCUUAUACACGUACAGAAUCCCCAACCCAAUUAACAUAACCAAUUCAACCAAGCCAAUCUUUCUAUUAGUCCAUUAAACCCUCUCACUACUCUAAUAUUUUAGCUAAUAAUAAAAAAACGAAUGAUCAAAUGCAUUUAUCAUAUUAUGGACUAAUUUCUCACAGAGAACCACGAAAACACAAAAGAUAAAUAAGUAAACAAUUUAAGAUACCCAUUUUAACAUGCUAGUUCAGAGAUAAACAGUGAUAGACAUAGACCAAAAAUUUAGCAUAAGAUUUAAGAGCAACAUUAUAUCCUUACGCAUAAAACAAAAAGAAAAUAUAGGAACCAGAGAAGGAAGGACCUUUUUAUUAGACUGAAUUUAAACUUUGUUUGUUGGACAAAUUGAAACUUAAAGAGCGACCGGGCCACGAACAAGCACCUCGAUCGGAGCUCGACUGACAAAAAAUAGAUCUCAUCUCAAAUGGACCUCUCAAACUCGGAUUUUGGCUGGUUUAAAUGGUGAAGGAGACAAGCUGAUUUUGGCUGAAUUCUGAAGGGCCUUUGAGAUUUUAGCCACUGCUUUUGUUAAGGAGGUGGGGUUACGGGGUGUUGUCUUUUUAGCUGGGUUUGGAGCUUUUUUUGGGGGGGAUGGGGGUUGUUGGC
rnacentral:lncRNA from 1 species